AAUCCAUAGGUUAAUGAGGCGAACCGGGGGAACUGAAACAUCUAAGUACCCCGAGGAAAAGAAAUCAACCGAGAUUCCCCCAGUAGCGGCGAGCGAACGGGGAGGAGCCCAGAGCCUGAAUCAGCAUGUGUGUUAGUGGAAGCGUCUGGAAAGGCGCGCGAUACAGGGUGACAGCCCCGUACACAAAAGCGCAUGUGCUGUGAGCUCGAUGAGUAGGGCGGGACACGUGGUAUCCUGUCUGAAUAUGGGGGGACCAUCCUCCAAGGCUAAAUACUCCUGACUGACCGAUAGUGAACCAGUACCGUGAGGGAAAGGCGAAAAGAACCCCGGCGAGGGGAGUGAAAAAGAACCUGAAACCGUGUACGUACAAGCAGUGGGAGCACAGGUUUACCUGUGUGACUGCGUACCUUUUGUAUAAUGGGUCAGCGACUUAUAUUCUGUAGCAAGGUUAACCGAAUAGGGGAGCCGGAGGGAAACCGAGUCUUAAUUGGGCGUUAAGUUGCAGGGUAUAGACCCGAAACCCGGUGAUCUAGCCAUGGGCAGGUUGAAGGUUGGGUAACACUAACUGGAGGACCGAACCGACUAAUGUUGAAAAAUUAGCGGAUGACCUGUGGCUGGGGGUGAAAGGCCAAUCAAACCGGGAGAUAGCUGGUUCUCCCCGAAAGCUAUUUAGGUAGCGCCUCGUGAAUUCAUCUCCGGGGGUAGAGCACUGUUUCGGCUAGGGGGCCAUCCCGGCUUACCAACCCGAUGCAAACUGCGAAUACCGGAGAAUGUUAUCACGGGAGACACACGGCGGGUGCUAACGUCCGUCGUGAAGAGGGAAACAACCCAGACCGCCAGCUAAGGUCCCAAAGUCAUGGUUAAGUGGGAAACGAUGUGGGAAGGCCCAGACAGCCAGGAUGUUGGCUUAGAAGCAGCCAUCAUUUAAAGAAAGCGUAAUAGCUCACUGGUCGAGUCGGCCUGCGCGGAAGAUGUAACGGGGCUAAACCAUGCACCGAAGCUGCGGCAGCGACGCUUAUGCGUUGUUGGGUAGGGGAGCGUUCUGUAAGCCUGUGAAGGUGGCCUGUGAGGGUUGCUGGAGGUAUCAGAAGUGCGAAUGCUGACAUAAGUAACGAUAAAGCGGGUGAAAAGCCCGCUCGCCGGAAGACCAAGGGUUCCUGUCCAACGUUAAUCGGGGCAGGGUGAGUCGACCCCUAAGGCGAGGCCGAAAGGCGUAGUCGAUGGGAAACGGGUUAAUAUUCCCGUACUUGGUGUUACUGCGAAGGGGGGACGGAGAAGGCUAUGUUGGCCGGGCGACGGUUGUCCCGGUUUAAGCGUGUAGGUGUGUGUUCCAGGUAAAUCCGGUUCACUUUAACACUGAGGCGUGAUGACGAGGCACUACGGUGCUGAAGUAACAAAUGCCCUGCUUCCAGGAAAAGCCUCUAAGCAUCAGGUAACAUCAAAUCGUACCCCAAACCGACACAGGUGGUCAGGUAGAGAAUACCAAGGCGCUUGAGAGAACUCGGGUGAAGGAACUAGGCAAAAUGGUGCCGUAACUUCGGGAGAAGGCACGCUGACACGUAGGUGAAGUGAUUUACUCACGGAGCUGAAGUCAGUCGAAGAUACCAG
rnacentral:rRNA from 1 species